GCAUGUCUGAACGCAAGGAAGUGGUGAUUUAAUCCUUCAUUUCCUGAUCUAAACAUAAUAAAAUAGAACAUUAAAAGUAUAUAAAUAGAUGGUUGUUGAUGACUUAUACUAUAUUGCCACUUUAUAGGAUUCUAUAAAGUUACAAAGUUCAUUGCAGUUGCGACAAAGAAAUGGGACCCAUCUUAAGAAAAAUUGUCGUUUUCAUCGUGUUGGCACUGUGGAUUGUAUCUAUUGAAGGCCGAAGGAAAAGAUUUCAGAUCCUUUCAAGCUACAGACGACGUCACUAUGGAUGAACUUAUCAAGAAUACCAUUUUUUAAUAAAAUACAGCUUUCAACGUGAUACAAUAAAAUUUGCAAAGUUACUUGUACGAUUUUUGAUAUAAAAAUGCGCAUGAGGGACAGCCGAUCAAUAUUUAGAGUUCGAUGUGAUGCAAAUACUGUUUCUGGACAAUAUUGCUCCCGGAUUACAAAAUAGUCUUCGAACUACAGUGAAAAUCUUUAUAAAAGUUAUUCAGAAAAGAAUUAGUCUUUUUUAGAAUCAGAUUCAGAAUUGAAGAUUAUGAACAAAGGACUUAAACCUACCCGCGUUUUUCAAAAUUUUUAAAACAUAUUAUGACGUCAUACCCAUUAUAUCGGGGUUGUCUUCAGCAGACAUCGCUGCCGUUAGGUUGUGCGCCGUUAUUAGAUGUUGGUGUGUCUUGUCAUUAUAUAGCGAUUAAAAUGAGUGCUUCACUUCUGAAAAACCUUAAUGCGAAUGAAGUUAUUAUGAGGAUAGAAAAUGAAGAUUCAGGUGUAGGUCUAUAUUUAAUUUUUGCAAAAUUUCGUUAGUCUACGGUACCAACUAAAAAUGAGUUUAGUAAAAGUAUUUUAUUCUUAUAGAUGACAUGCUUGAAACCCAAAGUGUGUCAUAUUCAGACCCAGACUUUGUUUUUAUUCAAGAGUGUGAUGAGGAAGAAGAAAAUUGGCAAGGUGUUAAAUCUAAAAAAUUAGCCAACUACGCUCAACGCAGUUCCACAGUGGCUAGUCAGUCCUGUUUUUGUUUUCAAUUUAUUUAAUAUCAUCAUUGCUGCUAACGUUACACUUUAAAUCAUGUUUUCAUUAUCUGUUUUAGACGUUGGGUAAAAGGAAACGCGUAAAACAGGCGCGCCCCUUUGGAUGGAAAAAUAAUAUUUGCAAAAGGAAUCGUCUAGCUGGAUUAAAUUAUAAUAGCCGAAAAGGAAAGCAAAAUAUAGCAAGAAAAAUGGGGAUGCCGUGCAAAUCCACUAAUUGUCGAAAAUCCAGCUUACGGCAAUGUGCGAGUCUGACAGAAGAUGAGAGACAGUGGGUUUUCAAAAAAUUUCGGAAAAUGGAAUCGUGGUCUGAAAGACGAUCAUAUGUCAGGGCUUCAGUAUCGAAGGUUACCACCAAGCAAAGGAAAAUUGCUGAAAAUACGUCAAGAAGAAAGUCAUCUUUUGAAUACCAUUUACAAUUACAAAAAUGGAACAUGCAUUCUGGUGUGCAAAAAACUACAAUUGGCAUUAGCCAACAAACUUUGCUCUCGUGACUGGAAGGGCCCGCACCAUUCAUAAAGUUUUUGGACCCGCAUCGUCCAAGAAAAGGCAAGAUAUGGAUUU